rnacentral:rRNA from 1 species
UAGGAUUCCCUCAGUACGGGCGACGGAAGCGGGAAAAGCCCACAUUGGUAAUCUCCGAGCUUGGGCUCGGCGAAUUGUAAUCUGAAGAUCGCUAGUCUAAUUGGAUCAGGCGUCAAAGUGCGCACGAGCGCGCCGCCAUAGAGGGUGAGAGCCCCGUACGACGCAGGAUCCUACCAAGGCUGGUGUUCGAAGAGUCGUGUACUUUGAUACUAGUGCACUAAGCGGGAGAUAAACUUCUUCUAAGGCUAAAUAUAAGUAGGAAACCGAUAGCGAACAAGUACUGUGAAGGAAAGAUGAAAAGCACUUUGGAAAGAAAGUUAAAAGACUUGAAAUCGUUGAGGCGGACCCGGUAGAAAUGUAUUCUAGCGAAGCGCUCUGGGAAGCCUCUACGGGGGCCACUUGAGCGCUAGCCGAGACAAGAUGGAGUCGCCUGAUGCCAGAGGCUGUGUGCGAGCGUGCUUGCAUGAGCGCAUGCUAGUCGGGUGUUAGGCGGCUUGAGGGGCCUUGAGCGAUCUUGUCAAAAUGGUUUUUACCGACUCGUCUUGAAACACGAACCAAGGAGUCUAAGACUAACGCGAGUAUGGUGGUGGAGAAACCAACAUGCGAAAUGAAAGUAAAUGAUGCCAAGCUCCCUGCAGCAUCGACCGACUUUUUUCUAUUGGAAGAGGUUUGAGUAAGAGCGUUAUUCUUAGGACCCGAAAGAUGGUGAAACUAU